rnacentral:rRNA from 1 species
AGGCCUACGGGAGGCAGCAGUAGGGAAUCUUCCACAAUGGACGAAAGUCUGAUGGAGCAACGCCGCGUGAGUGAAGAAGGGUUUCGGCUCGUAAAGCUCUGUUGGUAGGGAAGAAAGAUAGAGGGAGUAACUGGCCUUUAUUUGACGGUAAUUACUUAGAAAGUCACGGCUAACUACGUGCCAGCAGCCGCGGGAAUACGUAGGUGGCGAGCGUUGUCCGGAUUUAUUGGGCGGUAAGCGAGUGCAGG